ACACAUGCAAGUCGAGCGAGAAAUUAAUUAAUGAAUCUUCGGAAGAAUUGAUUAAUGGAAAGCGGCGGACGGGUGAGUAACGCGUGGGCAACCUGCCUUUCACAGAGGGAUAGCCAAAGGAAACUUUGAUUAAAACCUCAUAAAGCUGGAAUAGUGCAUAAUAUACCAGCCAAAGAUUUAUCGGUGAAAGAUGGGCCCGCGUCUGAUUAGCUAGUUGGUGGGGUAACGGCUCACCAAGGCGACGAUCAGUAGCCGACCUGAGAGGGUGAUCGGCCACAUUGGAACUGAGACACGGUCCAAACUCCUACGGGAGGCAGCAGUGGGGAAUAUUGCACAAUGGGCGAAAGCCUGAUGCAGCAACGCCGCGUGAACGAAGAAGGCCUUCGGGUCGUAAAGUUCUGUCCAAAGGGAAGAAAAGAAUGACGGUACCUAUGGAGGAAGCCCCGGCUAAAUACGUGCCAGCAGCCGCGGUAAUACGUAUGGGGCAAGCGUUAUCCGGAAUUAUUGGGCGUAAAGAGUGCGUAGGUGGUGGCUUAAGCGCAGGGUUUAAGGCAAUGGCUUAACUAUUGUUCGCCUUGCGAACUGGGUCACUUGAGUACAGGAGAGGAAAGCGGAAUUCCUAGUGUAGCGGUGAAAUGCAUAGAUAUUAGGAGGAACACCGGUGGCGAAGGCGGCUUUCUGGACUGCAACUGACACUGAGGCACGAAAGCGUGGGUAGCAAACAGGAUUAGAUACCCUGGUAGUCCACGCCGUAAACGAUGAGCACUAGGUGUCGGCCAAUAAAGGUCGGUGCCGCAGUUAACGCAUUAAGUGCUCCGCCUGGGGAGUACGCACGCAAGUGUAAAACUCAAAGGAAUUGACGGGGACCCGCACAA
rnacentral:rRNA from 1 species